rnacentral:rRNA from 1 species
UUUAUGGAGAGUUUGAUCCUGGCUCAGGACGAACGCUGGCGGCGUGCCUAAUACAUGCAAGUCGAGCGAACAGAAAAGGAGCUUGCUCCUUUGACGUUAGCGGCGGACGGGUGAGUAACACGUGGGCAACCUACCUUAUAGUUUGGGAUAACUCCGGGAAACCGGGGCUAAUACCGAAUAAUCUAUUUCACUUCAUGGUGAAAUACUGAAAGACGGU